AGUAUUUGUUGAAAUGCUUUUGUUACUGAUAAAUACAUGUACAUUUAAAUUGAUUUUGUUCUGUCUGUGAUUUUGUAGAUCUGGAUGUUCAGCUGGUCUCAGAUCAAGCAUCCUCCUCUGUACUGACUCCACUAUCCCCAGCUUCAUCCCAUUCAUCAGAUUCCACAAUUGUCCUGGAGUCCAGAAGAAAGAGGAGGAACCCAACAGGGUUAAUGGAGCAGAAUGAAGCAAGACAGAAAGUUGAUUGUGUUCUGAGUGCCAAUCCAAAGGGUGAGGAAAUCUUCAAGGAGUAUGAAAAGACCAAAACACUAACAGAUGCCACACGUAAACAGAUGGUGAACGUCCUGGUUGCAGACAUGUUAGAGCUACAUGGGUAAGAAUUGGAGGUCACUUCCCUCCCUUUAUCAUCACAACAGAUUCAUGUGGUGCAGAUAAAGAAUGCUAUUCUGUGUUGCUAUAAAAGGAGAAUUUAUCCUUUAACUUCUUGCAAACAUACACACUUGCGAAGUAAACUGAUUUAUUUUGAAAGGAUGAUUCCAUCCUCAAGUGUGAGGACCAGUUAUGCACUGGGAAUUGUGACACUUUUUCCAAACCUCCAAGAUCCUUUCUCCAAACAUGGAUAUGUAAGUUCUGUCUGAAAACCCAAACCAGUGUGUUUUUAUAUUUUCUUCCUUUUUAUAGUUUUAAAGUUAAAAUGAUCUUGUUUUAGAUGAGUGUUUAUAGGUUGCUCAGCUUUGUAUUUUCCACUUGUUUUUGUAAUUUUAUAUAGUCAUUGUGUGAACUUAUUGUGUUGAGUAAUUCAUUCUUGAAGCCAAGCACGAGAUGCCUCUGUUUGGGUCUUUUCUUAAACAGGAACACUACUAUGAUCCUUUAGGGUAAUACUGGCUUCAUUGCAUGGAGGAUCAAGACGGUUCAACAUAACACCUGUGCUGGCUCCUGGUGUCAUUCCAAGACUGUUCUUCAGGAUGGUCCAAAAACCAGACGAGAAUCUCUGUUAACCUGUCAACAGCGAUUUGGUGAGGAGUGCAGGGAGGCGAUAUCUACAAUACGAUAUUCCACUGAUGAAUCUGUGGUCAGAGAGAAGAUGAGCGACUUUCCAGUAUCGACAGAAGGUGGUCAGUAAGGAUGCAUCAUCUUCUGUCCUGGAUUUGUUCACUCGUUUCCUUGCUGUAUCUGGAUUGAUUGACCAGGAUUUCUCCAUGAUGUUUGGUGAUGAAGUGUCUCAGAAGUUCCUGGCAAAGUGGUCAACAUUCUUCAAGCCAAAAAUCAUUGCAGACUGCAAGACUCUUAAGAAUAUGGGCGAGCUGCUGUCAGGAACUGAACCUGAAUCUGAGGACUACAAUGGUCAGUAUAAACUGUUUUGUAUUUUAAAAAUGUUCCAGUCUUUAAAAAAAUAAUUAAAGAGAGAUCAUUAAAUUAUUUUGUGAUGUCUUUACGAUGGGACAGUGAUGUGUCCUCAAUCCUUUUGCAGCUGCAUCUGCUCCCUCCAACCUCAAGAGGCCAGAAAACAAACAUCCAAGAUCAGUUCAGCUCAAGCAACCAGCCAUCUUGUGAGCUGUCUUAAGGUAUGCAAAAGUUAAUAUUUAAACAUCAGAUCUUAAUUUUAGGAACUCUUGAGGUGUAGACUAUUUUGGGAUUCUGAGACCUGCAUCUCA